GUAGCAUAUAAUUUGACCCUCAGAGUCUGAUUUCACAUCUUAUAAUGUAGUCUCCUUCACUGGCCUCCACUCUUCAAGGAAGUUAGCCUGGGAUCGAGGCCGCUACUUAUAAUGUAGCUAGAUAGACUGGAUCUGUACUCUAAGCCCAAUUCAUGUACUGGAUGCUUCACUGAUGCUGGCUAUGAUACUGGCUGUUGCGGGACCUUCCAAUUCUGAGGAACUGUUGUGAUAAUGCAGGUCCAGAAUGUAUUCCAGUGAUGGUGGGAGAUGCUUCCAGUGCAUAUUAUAGGUACGUCUAAGCUAUCAUAAAUUAUGCACUGCAUGAUAUAUUAUAAACAACCGUUUCUUGCUUAUACCUUCAUAUGGAGCAUUUCCAGUCAAAAGAAUUGGCCCAUCAACCCAAAACGUUAGUGGGAUGGGGUCAGUAAAGAAAUGGUACUGUCUGGAUCAAUAAUCACAAACUACAGCUUAUGAGAAUUUGCUCGUGCAUAUUAUAUGGAGUGGUGGGUGGUAGAGACGUAAAUCUUCAAGAGCGAUCACGGGUGUCAGAACUAUAGUCAGAUAUAUUGGCCAGUUCCACCUCAUUAGCUACUGUCACCUCAAUGGAUAUGAAGCCACCGUACGCG